rnacentral:rRNA from 1 species
GCAGUCGAACGGCAGCACGGAGCUUGCUCUGGUGGCGAGUGGCGAACGGGUGAGUAAUAUAUCGGAACGUACCCUAGAGUGGGGGAUAACGUAGCGAAAGUUACGCUAAUACCGCAUACGAUCUAAGGAUGAAAGUGGGGGAUCGCAAGACCUCAUGCUCGUGGAGCGGCCGAUAUCUGAUUAGCUAGUUGGUAGGGUAAAAGCCUACCAAGGCAUCGAUCAGUAGCUGGUCUGAGAGGACGACCAGCCACACUGGAACUGAGACACGGUCCAGACUCCUACGGGAGGCAGCAGUGGGGAAUUUUGGACAAUGGGCGAAAGCCUGAUCCAGCAAUGCCGCGUGAGUGAAGAAGGCCUUCGGGUUGUAAAGCUCUUUUGUCAGGGAAGAAACGGUGAAAGCUAAUACCUUUUGCUAAUGACGGUACCUGAAGAAUAAGCACCGGCUAACUACGUGCCAGCAGCCGCGGUAAUACGUAGGGUGCAAGCGUUAAUCGGAAUUACUGGGCGUAAAGCGUGCGCAGGCGGUUUUGUAAGUCUGAUGUGAAAUCCCCGGGCUCAACCUGGGAAUUGCAUUGGAGACUGCAAGGCUAGAAUCUGGCAGAGGGGGGUAGAAUUCCACGUGUAGCAGUGAAAUGCGUAGAUAUGUGGAGGAACACCGAUGGCGAAGGCAGCCCCCUGGGUCAAGAUUGACGCUCAUGCACGAAAGCGUGGGGAGCAAACAGGAUUAGAUACCCUGGUAGUCCACGCCCUAAACGAUGUCUAC